GAUGAACGCUGGCGGCGUGCCUAAUACAUGCAAGUCGAGCGAACAGACGAGGAGCUUGCUCCUCUGACGUUAGCGGCGGACGGGUGAGUAACACGUGGAUAACCUACCUAUAAGACUGGGAUAACUUCGGGAAACCGGAGCUAAUACCGGAUAAUAUAUUGAACCGCAUGGUUCAAUAGUGAAAGACGGUUUUGCUGUCACUUAUAGAUGGAUCCGCGCCGCAUUAGCUAGUUGGUAAGGUAACGGCUUACCAAGGCAACGAUGCGUAGCCGACCUGAGAGAGUGAUCGGCCACACUGGAACUGAGACACGGUCCAGACUCCUACGGGAGGCAGCAGUAGGGAAUCUUCCGCAAUGGGCGAAAGCAUGACGGAGCAACGCCGCGUGAGUGAUGAAGGUCUUCGGAUCGUAAAACUCUGUUAUUAGGGAAGAACAAAUGUGUAAGUAACUAUGCACGUAUUGACGGUACCUAAUCAGAAAGCCACGGCUAACUACGUG
rnacentral:rRNA from 1 species